rnacentral:lncRNA from 1 species
UAUUUAAUAGUGCGAAACUAGCGCGUAUAGCAAAGCCUAUUCUGCCUUGCUUCGACGAACAAUACCAGCCCAAAACGUGUUCUUUGUCUACGCUGUGUUGUUAGCGGCGAACAGUCAGCGCCAUUAGUGGAAGGAAUGGUGAUAGGCUACGCUGCCUCCGCCGGGAAUAAUUCAUGAUGGGCGGGACCGCCAUUGCUGACGGGAAUUGCUAAGGAGUUACGCUGCCGUGGCACGAACGAUAUCCUUAGUAACGUAAUCACACAGCACUAUUUGCUGAUGGGUGUCGACUCCUUGAGAUACUGCAACUAGUGUGUUAAUUAAAAAUAAAAUAGUGAAAAUAUCUUUAAAAGUCGCAACCAUGUUUCUCUUGGUGUUUUUUGGAAUCAUAAUUAAAGAGUGCACGGGUCAAGCCGCCAGCCCCUUCGAUCUCGGUGACCACCGCGAAGGCCAGCUGUCAGGCCAACUCUCACCGUUGAACAUCUUCGCAAUCGCGCUCAGUUGUUUUGCAGCAUUGGUGGCCUGCGCAAUUACAGGGGUUUGUGCCUACUUCACAUGGAAACGCUAUAUCGAGGAAAAGGAGAUGCAACGAGGAUCAGAGUACUCUUUCAGUAAAAAAACAGGCUUCGCUUAAAACAUUUUCAGCCGCACAGUCAUCCAUUAUCAUGUGCAGUUACGUGUAAAAUCAACGGCAACACCAAUGGCGACGAUAAAUAGUUCAUACUCCAUUAAAGAAUAGAAUUGGAAACGCUUGCCAAAAUCUAACAUGAAGAACAACACCCUUGCCUUGCUUAACAACGGCUUUCGCACCAAUAAGUGAUUGCUACCGUUAACUAGGCAAUACGCUAUUACCGGGCUCUGUUAAAUUAGCUUUAGCAGAAAUUUAUUUCAAACUACCUGAGACAGCAAGAUACAAUUGUUAUUGUUUCGACAUUUAUCGAAUACAUACGCAAGCGAUUUUCUAGUCAAUUCUUGCCAAGAACUGAUCUGCAACGACUUGCACUAUUUCGCCUCUUUCUAUUAUUCUCAGCUAGUUUUUUAUAUUAUAUAUAUGUAGUACAUUUCAUCAGUAAAACAUUUAAAAAUCAGUACCGAAAUUGUAGGCAAGUUGUCGUACUGUCCACUGCGCAUACGAACGUCAAAGUGUAACUUGCAUGAAGCCUGCAGUACUAAUCUGACAUAUGCGACCAAUAUGCGUUCUUCUAUGGCAGACCGCUUGUAGCAGCCAACUUGUAUGCGCAACGCACACAUAUUCACCAGUAUUUUGACAUUUCUCCAUAUUCCAGUCACUAUCGCCUACGAAGCUCAAGCCAAAAAUGAGUAAACUUUUGUGCGUAGAAAAAGGAACCUAAUUGCCCUCGAAUUUUUAACAGAUUGAGAAUUUUUUUUACUAUUAUUAUUGUAUCCUUAAUAAGAUGUGUUGCUGGCGCGUGCAUUAAAUAGAGCAGGCCAACGUAGACAUCACAUAUCGUACAUUCACCCAUCGUAUUGAACUUCAUCGCUUGUCAGUUCCAUAAGACCUAAUGUACAUGCUUUACUGGAUUGUAGAAUAAACGAAAAUUAAACAAGACUUAAACAAAUAUGUGGAGUGCUCUAAUCGUUUGGCUAUGCAUCGCAAGAUUCCUUUACGUAUGUAAUAUCUAGCUUAUAUUUAGGGCCUUUCAAAAAGAUUAAACUCCACUUAGACGUAUUCCUUAUAAGUAUGCUUUAAUUCUAAUGCAUCCUAUCCGUACAUGGUACAUGGGCACUGUAUAUGACUUCACGAAAGUUGAAAUUUCAAUAGCAGGCCACCUUGAAUGGUAAUCGUUUUCGAGGUGGAAAAAAAUAAAGCCAAUAGUAUUGGCAGUAGAAUGUAAAUUAAAAAAGGGAUGUACUAAAAAAUUCGAGUGCAUUGGAGCAUAUUGCGAAGGCUACGAUCUUCAAUUGAACCAGUCGUCUAAAUGGGAAUGUAUUUUUUAUUUGUAUAUGCCCCUCUAGAUAGGAUGUGGACUUAGGACUCUCUACUCAAUGAGAACAUGAUAGAAUCCAGGCAAUUGGAUUAUCUCUUUAAAAUGUUAAUAUAAAAAACCCUACAUACAAGAUGAGUUCAACUCUUUCUACGGACAAUUUAUGCACCCUGAUUGAAUGAACCGAUUACCGUGAAACAUUACAUAUAGGUGACGAUCAACAGAGUGUUAAUUACUGAUUUAUAAAGAACGAAAAACGAAAAGAAGUCUACAAUAAUCAAAGCUUAAGUGCAUAAGACUUGAAACUAAUCAGUGCCGCCACAAACGGUAUCAAGCUUUUCCCUCAUGACUACCUUAAUUCGCUCACCUGCUACAAUGAAUCAAAUAGUACACGAAAUAAUAUUCGAUAAUUAAUAAUGAAAACAGAAAGACACGUCAACUACGAAUGCAGUAACCGGCGUUUGUAGACAAACACAUUAUAGUUUUUUUUAAUUUUUCUUCCACCUGAAAAAUUAGACUGAGUUUGCUUUUAUGCAAGCCACACCACUUGUCUCCACGUAAAUAUAAUAAGCAUGGAUACUUUUAACGUUCACUUAUAUUUUUACUGUUCAAAAUAACAACACGUCUUUUGAAGCAUCGGCUUAUUUCCAACACAAUUUUAUUCGUUUAAUUAUUUGCACCCUAUAUACAGGGACAACGAUUAUUUACAGUUUUGAUGAGGAUGAUUCACUAAGAGCAAGUAAACUAUAUGACAACGAUACUCUGUCGUUUAAGACCAACAGUCUCCAAUUAAUAAGCCUGAGUGAGGAACAACUGAAACGCUUACACGUAACGAGAAACGACUUUUGAAGUUGUAGAUGAAUGGCUUUUCAGUUCGAUCGGGCAAUCUUAACCACUCCGGCACCAAAUACUGACUGUCUUCUUAUUCUAUUUCUGAUAAAUCAUUUUAAUUAGACAAUUCCAAUAUGCCUAUACCAUAAUUGAUCUCAAAUCUCAGUUUAUUUAGAUUACCGAAAGUCAGUCAUUGAUCGCAAUUCGCACAUGUGCGGAUAUUGUACAACCUUUUUAAAAUAACCCAGUCACUUCGCUCGAAGAUAUAAAAUGUUAGACAUCAAUAGGCACGUAACAAUCACGUCCGCUUCCAACUAACUGGUAUAAACUAGCACUUCUGAUAAUCAGCCUGAUAUUAAUCUAGAAGGAUAAAUGGUAUUUCAACAAAAACUUCGAUGUAUAACACAAAGAUGGCAGCAUUUCCAAUCAACUCAAUUUUCAAUGGCCAGGAGUUACAAAAUGCGUGUUCAGCGUGUGGUAGUUUUAAAAAAAGUAACAAUUUAUUAGCAUGUUAAAACAAUUAGAAAUUAACUGGGAAAAAAAGCAAGCAAAGCAGUUCUUAAGUGUCAUUAGUACGGUGCCAGCUUAUCUACUUCUCGAAAUUCGUAAUUGACACACCGAAUCGUGCCCUCGAGUGUGAUUCAAAGCAGUAGGCUUGUGUAAGUUGGGUCUAAAUUUCACCGCAUAUUUGCCAAGAAGAACUACUUUAAUGUCAAUUUCGAAUGACAAUAAUAACCUCUCGUUGUAACAUUUCCGACAACGUUAAGGGAUCAAAGUCAGUCAAAGGGGUACCGGUCGUCGCUCGCAGCGUUUUGACGUCUUUUAGUGUAGAGUUCAUCAACAGUCUCUUGCUAGAAGAGAAUAUCAAAUACUGUAUUCAGAUGUUCUCGUUUGCUGCAA